UACGUAGGGUGCGAGCGUUGUCCGGAAUUAUUGGGCGUAAAGAGCUCGUAGGCGGUCUGUCGCGUCGAUCGUGAAAACUUGGGGCUUAACCCUGAGCUUGCGGUCGAUACGGGCAUGACUGGAGUUCGGCAGGGGAGACUGGAAUUCCUGGUGUAGCGGUGAAAUGCGCAGAUAUCAGGAGGAACACCGGUGGCGAAAGCGCUCUGCUGGACCUUAACUGACACUGAGGGACGAAAGCUAGGGGAGCGAAUGGG
rnacentral:rRNA from 1 species